UAAUUAAAUUAGGAUCAGUGUCAUUCGUCUUUACCGUUUCAACCUUUCUGGAUGUAUCGUUUCACAGCCAUCGUCUCUUAUCAGAUUACAUCUACCACUUCUCUUACUUCUUGAUUCUUUUUUAUCACUCACUUCCACCACCUCAAAUUUUCUUUCAGUUUCAUCUCUCAAAUCAAUGUAUCUUCCACCGCUUUGGAGUCGACGUUGCCUCCUCUCUUUCUUUUCUGUUGAUCUUCCAAAGUGAACAUCUCUUUCCAUAAAAAGAUAGCCUUAGCAAAAUCCUUUCCACCUCCCAUGACGUAUCAAAUGCCCCCUCACACCAGACACACCACCUCCUUCACGGAGUGUUAUAUUACUGUUAUCGUUUCUCUCAACCACCGCUUCACUCUAAUUGCUCACCGACACCGCUGCGCUCUCUCUCUCUCUCUCUCUCUCUCUCUCUCUCCUAAAAACGACAUCGUAAUUGCCCGGUGGGUUGCUGAUGGUGAGGUGCUACAAGGUAGGUCGGGUGAAGGAGUCUAGAGCAUCUAUUGUUUUAGAUUUAGGGGUAUUUCGGAGAUGUCGACCCAUCAUGAGGUGUAGUCCAUACAAGGAGGCAAACGAUUCAUUUAGGUACAAUCCACUUGGUGUUUUAUAUUUUUAGUUGUUUUAGUAUACGAUUUUGACUUUCUUCCCCACACGUAUUUUGAUUUUAAAAUUGAUUAGUCUGUUAUAACAACAAGGUUGCAAUCACAUUUCCCUACUCUGAAUAUGGAGAUUCUACAAAUCUAUGUUGCUUUUACAUGUUUUAUUUAUAUAAUUUUCAAUAAAAUUAGGAACCCCCUAAAUUUAUUUAUGUACAGGAAGUGGAAGAAUGGUGUUGAAUGCAUGUGGAUAACUACUUGAUUUGGAAAAGCCUUUUUAGGAUACCUACAUAUUAAUUUGUGUUUGUGUGCAGGAAGUAGAAGGGUAAAGACAAAAUAUGGUGAUGGUUACUUUCAUCAAUUUUGAAAUGUAAUUUUAGCAUAUGAAUUCUAGACAUCAGGUUUCUUCUAUUUUAAGAAAUCAUAGGAAUUUUAAAUGUAUUUUGUUUGUAUAUGAUUCCUUUCAGGUAAGUGGAAAACUUACGUUCUUCUUCCAACUCCUUAAUGUAGGACUACAAUUGUAAUGGGGAGUAGAUGUAUAAGGAUUGGUAGUUAUUUAAGAUGUAUAAUGGUUGGUAGUCUUAGAGAUCAUAUAAGCAGGUUAUGCCAAGUCAUUUGCACCAUUUCCUAAAGGUGUAGUUCUCCCAUCACUGUAAGCUUUUCUCUUCAGUAACCGACACCGAUUAUCAACAUUAUUGACACACAUGUAGCCCUAAUUUGUGGUUGCAUUCUGACGAUGCUAUUGCUAGGUACCUGUGGGUAGAUCCACCCUUGGCCGCAUCAUCAAUGUCAUCGGAGAACCAAUUGAUGAGAGUGGUGAUAUUGAAAUGGAGCAUUAUUUUCCAAUCCACAGAGAACCCCAACUUUUGUUAAAGUAGCAGCUAAGCAACAAAUCCUUGUAACUAGAAUCAAGGGAAAUGAUGGAGAGUGGUGCCAUUAAGCUGUCACGCCCCGAAACCAAGAUGGCGGAAACAUCUAGGGGUCGAUGACUUUCAUGAACAUUAUCACAACAUAAUGUACAAUAGUCAAUCAUAGCAAAUACGACCAUCAUAAUUAUAAUUGAAAAGGUUACAUUGUUACCAUGUAUUGAUGUUUCAAACAAAUUACAUUAUGAUGACAAAAAUGAAUAAUAUGGCAUUGUAACAUCCCAUCCUCAAAA